CAAGCACAACACUAAUCCAUUACUCUACUAUACUUGCAUUACAUUACAUUGUCUUAUCUUACAAUCCAUUAUAUCAAUUUAUAAUACAUGUCCACACUAAAAGUACUAAUCUAUUACAUUAACAAGACUAUUACCCCUGACGUCUUCCUGGACUACCUCUGACCUGCAAAACUGGGGUUAGGGGAGAGGGGUGAGCUAAAAAGUCCAGUGAGUAGAAACAGAAAAACAGUUCAUUAAUUUUAUGCUUUCAUGAGAUGCGUCACAGCACAAACAUUUCAUAUAACGGAUGGACAUGACCACCAAAACUCCCUCUGACUGUAACAUAACAUGGUGCCCGGCCCUUCGGGCUCCUCAGGACUUCAUUAACAUAUCAUAAAUGGGGCUAUUGGGGUCGCCUUAGUCCAUCCACAUCAACAGUAAAUAAUGCAAUGCGUCAUAUUUGUGUAACUAAUGCAAUCAACCUAUUACAUAUAAACAUGAUGCAUGAACAUGCUUUAGGCAUUUGACUUUCAUAAAAUAAAAGAUUAAGUUUAGUUCUACUCACCUCUGGCAGACGCUGGACUGACUCUGCAACUGCUAACACUGAUGGCCUCCUCGGUCCCUCGGGUCCAAUCCUACACAGGUGGACUCGAAUGAGGUGCCAAACACACUCUAAACAACUCAUAAACAACUACCCAAAAAUCCCCUAAAACAACCUCAAAACAUGCAUAGAAAACAACCAUGAAAAGGCUGGACAGGGCACUUUCGGCGGCCGAAUGUGCCUUCCAGAGCCGAAAGCCAUGCAGGUUCGGCGGCCGAAGUCUCUCUCCAGAUCUGAAAGUCAAGCACCUUCGGCAGCCGAACAUUACCUUCGGCGGCCGAAAGUCUACUCCAGAUCCGAAACACAGCUUUCGGGGGCAAGGUUAGGCAGCCAGCCCAUGCAUCCAUAGGCAGGUUCGGCGGCCGAAACUACCUUCGGCGGCCGAACCUGAGUUCAUCCAGAACUCAGCCUCUUAUGCAUACAAGCCUCCCAAGCCUUCCAAACACCCCAAACAAGCACCCAACCUCUUAAUAACAUUCAUAAACCCUUAACCAUGCACAAAGGAGCUUAAACAAGCUUAAACUCCAACAAAAAACAUCAUAAAGCAUACAUAAAUAGCUUAUGACCCACAUAAGCCAAAACCAUCAAAACUACUCAAAACCUCACUUGCUCUCUCCCAAUCAUGCAUACACUCUUCCACAUGCAUAAAGGAGCAUAAACUAAUAUAAACUCCUCAACACAAACAUCACAUAACAUACAUUGGGCAUAAAAUCCACAUAAACCCUAACAUGCAUAUCUACCCAUACCCAACCACCAAAACAUCUUUAAACUUACUUAAAACUUCAUUAAAACACUAGGAAAGCGAGGAUCUACACUUACCUCUUGAAGAUCGAGGGGUGGUGCGAUCCCUAACUCGGAGGUGUGGAGGAUCCAAGCUUCAAAAGCCUCCAAGCUCCCAAAACUCCUAUUUAAGCUUCAAAACUUCAAAACAAGGGUAGAACUCAUGAAAAAUUUGAGGGAUGGGUAGAGAAAGCAUGAAAACGACCAAAGGAGUACAAAAACUCACCUGAGCUCGAGAAUGGGGAGAAAACUCGCCCAUUUCCGAUCUGAGGGCUCUUUAUAGGUGGCCUAGUCAAAGACCUUCGGCAGCCUAACGUGCCCUCUAAACUCAUGCAUGUUCGGCGGCCGAACCUUGGUUCGUUCAAACAAAGCUUUCGGAGGCCAAAAGCUCUCCCGAAACCUUCCCAUGUUCGGCGGCCGAACUUCACUUUCGGCGGCCGUACCUGGCAAACGCCUCCUUGGUCUUUUCUUUUCAAAACUAAAUUCUUUUCCAUUUAAAACCAUGAAAUCAGUAAAAACAUUUUUGAAAACACAUUUUACCCCUCUAGAAGACUCUGGCAUCAUUAAAAUUCCAGAUUCCAACAGAGAUUCCGCCGGAAGGUAGGGAUUCCGAUGCCGGAAUCUAGCCGGGUAUUACAAAGGGCUUCAUCUCAUUGGAGCUCUGCAGCAGACACUCAUUGAGAUGAUUAGGCAGCCUCUUCCCUCAGAUCACCUAUUUGCUUGGUGAGAUCUAAGAUUUUCCCCUUGAAAAUAUUGAUGUGAUCGUGAGACACAGCAGUGACAGUUAAGUUCUCAUCCCGUCGCGCUUCCUCGAUCAGGAGAUCAAUAUAACUCUGAAUAGAUCGAUUCCUAGCAUCGAUGUACAUAAAAAUGCCUAAAGAGUAGCAAAAAGGGAACAAAAUGAAAUAGGUGAGUAGAAAACAAGAUAAAACAUUGAAAAGAAAAGGGAAUACAACUUACCAUAAGUAAAAACUCUCAUAAAUUUUUCCCAAGAGUUUUCAAAGGGCGUGAGCUGCAAGCGAGUUGUUGCUUGGUAGAACAGGCUAAAUUGUAGAGACUCCUAGGAAAUGAGGAUCAGAGACAUCUAGCACUCUACCAAAGACCUUGUUACAAAGCAGCCCGGUCAUAGAUGCCAGCAUGAAAUCCACAUUGAUCUGGGAAAAGGCUAAACAACUAUCGUCUGGGGCAGAAGACAGAUUGACAGAGAUCUCCAAGGCUCUCUUCCCUUUGUUAAUAGAUGAAGGGAGUUUGGCAUUAGUAGGAGUGGAAUUCCUAGCUUGUUUGGCCGGACGACCCUCAAUAAUCAAGUCCCUCUAGCAGAAGGGACACUUUGGAUAGGAGAGUCGUCGCCUUUCUUUGAGCCCUCAUGCUCUGAUUCACUGACAUCAAUAAGGUUUAAGAAAGAACACUAGGUUACGUCCAUAUUGAGCAUCUAUCAAACCCUUAUUUGAUGAAUCAAACAGAACUAUCCUCUCAUUACCCUAAUUCUAAAAUUUUUGGUGUCUAUAAGAUCUCGAGAAAGGUGUUCGAGCAAUGAAGAAGAAGUAACAGAAGAGACUAGAUCCUCCACUGUCAAAAAUUCAACAGGAGCCAUGAAGAGAGUGAUAACGUACCUCUAAUUAGCAAUGCAAAAUUACUAGGAAAAGGAAUGUAGAAACAAAGCAGAAACAAAGCAGAAAUGGAAGCAAUGGAUACAAAGUAAAAUUUUGAAAUCAGAAGAAGACAAGGGAAAUGACACAUAUCAUGCUUCUUUCUCGAACCAGAAAAAAUUAAAUGAAGUCUCGGUAUUUACUUUCUCUCCAACCAUGAAAUAAUUGAUGAGGAAGUAAAGAGGCACUUGAUACUAAAUGGGCUAUGCACCAAUAGGCUUACAAUGGCUCACACGAUGCCUAUUAGAGUCGGUUAAAAUAUGGGUCCAAAAAGCGUUAUUGAUUGAGAUUAAAGCCCAAAUUAGGCUUUACAAUAUGAGGCCAAACCAAAACCAAAGAGAGUUGAGAAAUCCAGUCAAGCUCUACUAACCCACAAAAUCAAUCUAAAAUAGAAGCUGAAAAAGUAGGGAUCAUACCUUUUAAAUGUCAAAACCAAAUGAGAAAUUAAAUAACUGCCUAAUAAAUAUCAAAAUCUCAUAAUCGUCAAAUAAGUCAUCCUGGCGGCACAGGAGCCAUGUCAAAACAUGGGACUAUAAUGGCAUACCCACAAAAGACAAAAAAGGCAUGGAGUAAAAAGGAAAAGAAUAAUCAAACCCAAAAAGAGCUUACCAAAAAACUCAACCCUGAACCUUACAUUUGGAUCUCGAGAUAUCAAUUUGCACCAUCUGGGCAACAGGCCCUCAAUCUGCCGCUCUUGUUGGUCUUUUCCUAACCUGGCAUGGGUUUACCCUCCCCAUCGCUGGUUUUGCUUUCAGCAGCGGUGCUCCUUUGGAGAGUGUUAUCAUGUGGCUACUGUGUUGCUUGUGUGUUUUUCUUCUUUGCUUCUUUAUACAAGUUGGAGGCUGCCCAGAUCUGUUCUUAUUGUGGUUACCUGGCAAGAGAAGGAGGCGGUGGCUCAUGGAGUUUGAGGCUUAGAAGGCAAAAAGGGGAUGUCGAAAAGUGCACCUUCACCAACUCUCUACUAGCGACUUUAGAUCUGGAGCAGUUUUCCUUGUCUUUGGUAUCUUCCCACCAGAUUUGGUUUGCAUGCAAAGCUUCCUUCUACUAGGUGCUUUUNNN
rnacentral:lncRNA from 1 species